UCAAAAAAACAAAAAAAAAGUGAGUAUCAUUUUACAUAAACUAUUGUUGCUCAAACUAAAAGAGUUACGAGAAAACAUCUCUGUUGAGAUAUCAUUUCUAGCAAAGUACGUGAGAUUUGAAGAA